rnacentral:rRNA from 1 species
GAUGAACGCUGGCGGCGUGCCUAAUACAUGCAAGUCGAGCGAACGGACGAGAAGCUUGCUUCUCUGAUGUUAGCGGCGGACGGGUGAGUAACACGUGGAUAACCUACCUAUAAGACUGGGAUAACUUCGGGAAACCGGAGCUAAUACCGGAUAAUAUUUUGAACCGCAUGGUUCAAAAGUGAAAGACGGUCUUGCUGUCACUUAUAGAUGGAUCCGCGCUGCAUUAGCUAGUUGGUAAGGUAACGGCUUACCAAGGCAACGAUGCAUAGCCGACCUGAGAGGGUGAUCGGCCACACUGGAACUGAGACACGGUCCAGACUCCUACGGGAGGCAGCAGUAGGAAUCUUCCGCAAUGGGCGAAAGCCUGACGGAGCAACGCCGCGUGAGUGAUGAAGGUCUUCGGAUCGUAAAACUCUGUUAUUAGGGAAGAACAUAUGUGUAAGUAACUGUGCACAUCUUGACGGUACCUAAUCAGAAAGCCACGGCUAACUACGU